rnacentral:tRNA from 1 species
CUGAAAAUGUCUAGAUGGGCAUUAUUGCCCCAUCAACA